rnacentral:rRNA from 1 species
UACGUAGGGGGCAAGCGUUGUUCGGAAUUACUGGGCGUAAAGGGCGCGUAGGCGGCCGUUUGCGUCGGAUGUGAAAGCCCGGGGCUCAACCCCGGAACGGCAUCCGAUACGGGACGGCUGGAGACCGGGAGAGGAGGGUGGAAUAGCCAGUGUAGAGGUGAAAUUCGUAGAUAUUGGCUGGAACACCGGUGGCGAAAGCGGCUCUCUGGCCCGGUUCUGACGCUGAGGCGCGAAAGCGUGGGGAGCAAACAGG